GAUGAACGCUGGCGGCGUGCUUAACACAUGCAAGUCGAACGAAGCAUUUGCGACAGAUUUUUUCGGAAUGAAGUUGCUUAUGACUGAGUGGCGGACGGGUGAGUAACGCGUGGGUAACCUGCCUUGUACUGGGGGAUAGCAGCUUGAAACGGCUGGUAAUACCGCAUAAGCGCACAAUGUUGCAUGACAUGGUGUGAAAAACUCCGGUGGUAUAAGAUUGACCCGCGUCUGAUUAGCUAGUUGGUGCGAUAACAGCCCACCAAGGCGACAAUCAGUAGCCGACAUGGGAGGGUGAGCGGCGACAUUGGAACUGAGACACGGCGCAGACUCCUACGGGAGGCAGCAGAGGGGAAUAUUGCACAAUGGAGGAAACUCUGAUGCAGCGACGCCGCGUGAGUGAAGAAGUAAUUCGAUAAGUAAAGCUCUAUCAGCAGGGAAGAUAGUGACGGUACCUGACGAAGAAGCGCCGGCUAAAUACGUG
rnacentral:rRNA from 1 species